GACGAACGCUGGCGGCGUGCUUAACACAUGCAAGUCGAACGGAAAGGCCCUGCUUUUGUGGGGUGCUCGAGUAGCGAACGGGUGAGUAACACGUGAGUAACCUGCCCUUGACUUUGGGAUAACUUCAGGAAACUGGGGCUAAUACCGGAUAGGAGCUCCUGCUGCAUGGUGGGGGUUGGAAAGUUUCGGCGGUUGGGGAUGGACUCGCGGCUUAUCAGCUUGUUGGUGGGGUAGUGGCUUACCAAGGCUUUGACGGGUAGCCGGCCUGAGAGGGUGACCGGCCACAUUGGGACUGAGAUACGGCCCAGACUCCUACGGGAGGCAGCAGUGGGGAAUAUGGCACAAUGGGCGGAAGCCUGAUGCAGCAACGCCGCGUGCGGGAUGACGGCCUUCGGGUUGUAAACCGCUUUCGCCUGUGACGAAGCGUGAGUGACGGUAAUGGGUAAAGAAGCACCGGCUAACUACGU
rnacentral:rRNA from 1 species